UCCUCAUUAGUAUAGUGGUGAGUACCCCACCUGCCAAGAGGGAGACCUGGGUUCCAUUCCCUGAUGGGGAA
rnacentral:tRNA from 1 species